CCUACGGGUGGCAGCAGUGGGGAAUAUUGCACAAUGGGGGAAACCCUGAUGCAGCGACGCCGCGUGAAGGAAGAAGUAUUUCGGUAUGUAAACUUCUAUCAGCAGGGAAGAAAAUGACGGUACCUGACUAAGAAGCCCCGGCUAACUACGUGCCAGCAGCCGCGGUAAUACGGAGGAUGCGAGCGUUAUCCGGAUUUAUUGGGUUUAAAGGGUGCGUAGGCGGACAGUCAAGUCAGCGGUAAAAAUGCGGUGCUCAACGCCGUACAGCCGUUGAAACUGGCAGUCUUGAGUGGGCGAGAAGUAUGCGGAAUGCGUGGUGUAGCGGUGAAAUGCAUAGAUAUCACGCAGAACUCCGAUUGCGAAGGCAGCAUACCGGCGCCCGACUGACGCUGAGGCACGAAAGCGUGGGUAUCGAACAGGAUUAGAUACCCCUGUAGUC
rnacentral:rRNA from 1 species